rnacentral:rRNA from 1 species
ACUCAAAUGAAUUGACGGGGGCCCGCACAAGCGGCGGAGCAUGUGGCUUAAUUCGAGGCAACGCGAAGAACCUUACCUGGGUUUGACAUGCAGGGAAAUCUCCCAGAGAUGGGAGGUCCGCAAGGGCCUUGCACAGGUGGUGCAUGGCUGUCGUCAGCUCGUGUCGUGAGAUGUUGGGUUAAGUCCCGCAACGAGCGCAACCCUCGUCCUAUGUUGCCAGCGGUUCGGCCGGGGACUCAUAGGAGACUGCCGGGGUCAACUCGGAGGAAGGUGGGGAUGAAGUCAAGUCAUCAUGCCCCUUAUGUCCAGGGCUGCACACAUGCUACAAUGGCCGGUACAAAGGGCUGCUAAACCGCAAGGUGGAGCGAAUCCCAAAAAGCCGGUCUCAGUUCGGAUCGGGGUCUGCAACUCGACCCCGUGAAGUCGGAGUCGCUAGUAAUCGCAGAUCAGCAACGCUGCGGUGAAUACGUUCCCGGGCCUUGUACACACCGCCCGU